rnacentral:rRNA from 1 species
AGUGAACGCUGGCGGUAGGCCUAACACAUGCAAGUCGAACGGCAGCACAGUAAGAUCUUGCUCUUACGGGUGGCGAGUGGCGGACGGGUGAGGCAUACAUCGGAAUCUACUUUUUCGUGGGUGAUAACGUAGGGAAACUUACGCUAAUACCGCAUACGACCUACGGGUGAAAGCAGGGGAUCUUCGGGCCUUGCGCGAUUGAAUGAGCCGAUGUCGGAUUAGCUAGUUGGCGGGGUAAAGGCCCACCAAGGCGACGAUCCGUAGCUGGUCUGAGAGGAUGAUCAGCCACACUGGAACUGAGACACGGUCCAGACUCCUACGGGAGGCAGCAGUGGGGAAUAUUGGGCAAUGGGCGCAAGCCUGAUCCAGCCAUACCGCGUGGGUGAAGAAGGCCUUCGGGUUGUAAAGCCCUUUUGUUGGGAAAGAAAAGCAGCAGGUUAAUACCCCGCUGUUCUGACGGUACCCAAAGAAUAAGCACCGGCUAACUUCGUG